GAUGCAGAGCUUGCUCUGCUGAUCAGUGGCGAACGGGUGAGUAACACGUGAGUAACCUGCCCUUGACUCUGGGAUAAGCGCUGGAAACGGCGUCUAAUACCGGAUACGACCUUCCCCGGCAUCGGGUGGGGGUGGAAAGAUUUUUUGGUCAAGGAUGGACUCGCGGCCUAUCAGCUUGUUGGUGAGGUAAUGGCUCACCAAGGCGACGACGGGUAGCCGGCCUGAGAGGGUGACCGGCCACACUGGGACUGAGACACGGCCCAGACUCCUACGGGAGGCAGCAGUGGGGAAUAUUGCACAAUGGGCGAAAGCCUGAUGCAGCAACGCCGCGUGAGGGAUGACGGCCUUCGGGUUGUAAACCUCUUUUGGCAGGGAAGAAGCGAAAGUGACGGUACCUGCAGAAAAAGCACCGGCUAACUACGUGCCAGCAGCCGCGGUAAUACGUAGGGUGCGAGCGUUGUCCGGAAUUAUUGGGCGUAAAGAGCUCGUAGGCGGUUUGUCGCGUCUGCUGUGAAAUCCCGAGGCUCAACCUCGGGCCUGCAGUGGGUACGGGCAAACUAGAGUGCAGUAGGGGAGACUGGAAUUCCUGGUGUAGCGGUGGAAUGCGCAGAUAUCAGGAGGAACACCGAUGGCGAAGGCAGGUCUCUGGGCUGUAACUGACGCUGAGGAGC
rnacentral:rRNA from 1 species